UACUCAUACAGAGCUUACAAGCCUAAGUAGUGUUUCCUUGUUAGAAGAUACAAAACCAAAGACAAGGACUCAUACGGACUUCGACUACACCAUCAAAGCGUUGAGAACCAAGAAAAAGCUUGGUUAGUGUUUUGGAGUAGAAUAUGACUUGAUGCCAUGUGUAUGAUUAAGUAUAAGAACUUUA
rnacentral:sRNA from 1 species